GGUUAAGGUAGAAAGGGCAUACGACGGAUGCCUAGGCACUUACAGCCGACGAAAGACGCAGCAAGCGGCGAAACGCCGCGGGGAGCCGCAAGCAGGCCUCGAUCCGCGGAUAUCUGAAUGGGGCAACCCCACGGGAGCAGACCCGUGACUCCGUAAAGGAGAGGAACCCGGUGAAGUGAAACAUCUCAGUAGCCGGAGGAAAAGAAAUCGCAGAGAUCCCCCCAGUAGUGGUGAGCGAACAGGGGCCAGCCUAAACCCAUACAGUGCAAGGCAGCAGCCGUUGCUGUAUAGGGAGUUGCGGGACAGUCGGGGAAGCGCUGCUGAGCUUCCGCAGAGUGAGAAAAGAUCGAGUUAGUCGAAUCGUGUUGGAAAAGCGAGCCGCAGAGCGUGAAAGCCGCGUAGACGAAAACCCGGUCCCUCUGAAGACCCAAUCCCAAGUAGAGCGGAGCACGAGAAAUUCCGUUUGAAUCCGGGCCGCCCAUGGUCCAAGGCUAAAUACUGUAAGUGACCGAUAGCGCAUAGUACCGAGAGGGAAAGGUGAAAAGCACCCCGGGAGGGGAGUGAAAGAGACCUGAAAUCGUAUGCCUACAAGCA
rnacentral:rRNA from 1 species